CGAAGGGCCACGUAUGAAGAAGAAAAACUUUUGCUUUUUCUGAGUAAGAAAUAAGAGCUGAUUGGUAGUUUGGCUUCUUCUACUACAAGGCAAAAAGGUGUGAAAAAGACAUUUUAACUAGAGGAAAUGUGAUGAGCAUGAUUGGAAUGUAAAGGAAUGUAAAAUGUUUUUUAGGAAUAGUGACUUAAACUUCACCCUUGUUUAAGCAAACUACCCCACCUCUUCUGUUUCUUAUUUCAUUCCAGUCUUUCUUUCACCUACUAUGAGCCACACCCACUUAUCGAAAUGGGAUGGCUGCAAUCCCUUUUCUCUCCAUUGAAGAAACUGUGGAUUCGUCUGCAUUCUGCUCAAAAGAAGAGUAAGCUAUCGUCUUUUAACAAUCCCUUGCUUCCGAUUUUCGUUUCGAUUUCAUGACUUUUCUUGCUAGAUCAAUGCUACCAACUUCAAAUAGGCAUCAGUUACCUUUAUUCGUCUCCCCCAUUCUUUCAAACAGAAGCCCAGACUUCCUUGUGCUUUUGAUAGGGUUGGUUUGGCAUGACUUUUGAAAAGUCAAAAGGAGUUUUUGAGACUCAAAAGUAUCUUUUAAACCCGUAUGGCAUGAGUUUUGAAAGUGUUUCUUUUAGUUAGAAGAGUUUUUAGAGGAAGUUGAUCUAAUAUUGGUUUCUCUAAAAACACUUUGGAAAUAGAAAGUACUUUCAAAAAUUAAUUUUUAAUGCAACUUCCUUCAAAAGCUCUUUAGGAAGCAAGAGCAAAAGUCAUAUCGAAUAGGCUCUUAAUAUCAUAUCAAAUACACACACGUAAAUCACAUUUUCAUCCUCUUCAUAUUGUGCAUUUCCAGGGUUUACUAGAGGGCAUUUAUCUAGCUAACUCACUAAAUUUUCACGAUUGAUUUUUCAGGUAGAGGGAUAUAUAUACUGUACGAGGAUGUCAAGUCCUGCCCCUAUGAAGACGUGCAUGUUCUUUGGUCCAUACUGGUGGAAUCACAUCCACGGGCAUUGCCACCACCAAAAUGAUGUUCCCAUGUACAAAGAAACACGACAGGAAUUGGGAGAUUUACAGCCAUGUAUAUAAGAUAGGAACAUCUCCCAAAGUUAAGUUUUGUUUACACAUUUUCGAUUGCAAUUUCUUGCGAGUGAGUUUAUAGAAUGUAAUAAAUUAUUGAUGUUAUCACCACAGAAAUAUGAAUAGUCAACAGCAUAUAAAAAAUGCAAUGUGUUUGCAUGAAUUUUCAGGUCAGACCUAUGAAUUUACUAUACUACUUUCCUGGAUGUAAAGUAAUUAUGUUUUUAAUGUUUUGUGGCUUCUUGUUGAGUUGUCGGUUUCCAGAGGUUGAGUAGCAGUUAUAUGGGUUCUUCACACCUUUCAGAAUUUAACUGAGGCUGAGUCAUGAAAGCUACUGAAUGGAUGUGAUAACCUAAUUGAUUUUGAUGUCUGUCCGUGUAGCAUUCACAUGGUUAGAGCAUCUUCAAGAGAUUCUUUAAGCAGAAAAUGUUUUUAAUUUUAAAAAAUUAAUCCUUAAAAUUAUGUUUCAAUAGACUCUUUCUAUUAAUAUAUUUAUUUAAAG
rnacentral:lncRNA from 1 species